ACCAAAGAUACAAGGAUUUCUGAAUGUAAAGCUAUAAAUUUAAAUGCUGGCUAUAAAGAGGAAGGCAUUCUACCAUGAGCAAUAAGUCACUUAUAGUGGUCAUAUAGUCUACGAGGCUAUGGACACUUACUGUCCUAAGUGGUAGGUGUUUCUGAGAAUAUGUUUUAAAUAUGGCAAAGUUUGGAUAAAACCAAGUUAAUAGAUGUUUUAGUUAUGUCUUUCUAUAUGUUUCUUUAAGGUCAGUGCAACAGGGGUGUGAUCAACAAAGUACAAAUGAGAUGGAUUCCAUCUCAAUCACCAUAAAAAGCACAAAGGACAAAAAUCAAAGAAAAUAAGUGACAAUGCUAUAGGAUAAGGACACACAGAAAGAAGAACAGAUACUUCAGGGUGUCCUACCAAGUGGAUUAGAACUUCAAAUGCUACAAAGACACAAAAGCACUCUCCUAAAAGAUCCAAGCAGGUCAUCUGUCACUGCAAGAUCUGAAUCCACAGAGAUCAGUGUGAGGAGUGAAUCCCGCUUGCCUUGGCACUGUUUCCAGACUUCUAUCUGCGAGAUCCAACCACGACGAUACAAAACAACUGCUCUAGGAUUUGAGGAAUGCAAGGCAGAGUAAGAUGAACUAGUGUGUUAAGAGGGGAACCACAGGGCUAGAGUGAUGGCUUA
ensembl:lncRNA